AAAAAGGUUUAAGUUUUUUUGAAGGGUCAAAAGGGUAAAAUAAUUAAGAAUUAAAGGGGUAGAAUGGAGAUCAGUUAGCCAGGCUUAGGCUGCGUUAAGAUUGGUUAUAUAAGAGCUCUUUUCUUUCAUUUUGAGGCAGCCAUUCAUACUCUGGAAAAACACUAAAAGUUCUGCAUCAUUUUGGUUUGAUUGGUUUUGGAAUUGCUUUUUGGUUUCACUAUUAGCAAGAACUUAUAAACUUCGAAGUAUUUCUGGUUCAUUAUGGUUUUAGAAGAUGGUCUAAGGGAGCUGAGUUUGCUGUGUUGAUUUGCUGAUGUUCAUGCUCUUCUGCCAUUGCUGACAUUUUCAUCUUUUUGCUCUAAUUUUGUUUCCAGGUACUUCUUUGACCAUGGAUGAUAUGUGAAAUGUCAUUUCUAAAAUAUGUAGUUGAAUUCUUAAGAUCUAAUGAUAGAUGCCGCUUUUCUAAUUUGGUUCAUCUUCUUCUCUUAUGAUCAUCUAGCCUCUUUCAUAGUUCUAAUCUUCUCUUUUUAUGUGUUUUCUUUCAUUCCUUUUCUUUUACCGCUGUUGUACCUCGUCUUUAGGGCUGGAUUAAGUACGCAUCUCCUUGUUUCUGUAUCUUGUUUCUCUCAUUAGUUUAAGACAUAUUUCUGAAGGCUUGAGUUUUCUGUAUGCAUUGGUUAAAGUCAGUUGAUAAACAUCUUUGUUAGCCAUGUUAGAAUUUAUUUAGCUCUGUGUUGGUCCUCAGCCCAACAUUGGAUUUAUUUGGAAAUCCAUGAAAUGACUAUAUAACGUCUCUAGCCCCUUUCUUGGGUUGUCUGCUGUGAAGGUCAUGUUGAAUAGCCACUCUUGACGUGUUCGAUCUUUUAGUUGUUUAAGUUUGAUUUAGUUCAACUUUCUAUCUCUCUUUGAUUAACUAUGGAGAUCAAAUUUAUAUUGGUUAAUUAAAUUCGAGUUAGUUUUGAAUGACAAGAACAAUGGUUCAUCUGGGAUGUAUGGGAGGCCAAUUAAGAGUAAUAAACUUGGGAUCUAACAUUUAUCUAGGCAAAGGGUAUUAACUGACAGGUUCAACAAAAGGUUGGGUCAAAUUUUGUGCAAUGGACUUAAGGAAGUAGACCAUCCAACUUUGAGUAGGACACUUGGUUUGGAGUGAAAUAGGUUGCCUUUAAUUCGAAAUAGAUAUGAAUUUAAAGAAGAUAUUCUUUAGAACAAUAAUCGGCCUAAAUAAGUCGACCCAUGCUGGCCUGCUUCCUACGUUAAUUUGUCUAGUUCUUGUAAAUAUAUAAGAUGCCUUUAACUAUUAUGCAGAUCAUUAUCAUUAUGUCUUUCCAAUGUUGUGUCUAAAUCACUCUCGACCCUCAAAAAUAUUAUUUAUUAAAAAGGAACACUCAUAGAAAAGCCUUUAGGCGCGUUUAAACUAAGAUUGUAAUUGUGUACACAUUUGCGUGAUAUCAUUACAAUUCAAAAAAUCAAUUCAGAGUAUGCGUUCAUGCAACUUCGAGCAAACUUACUUAAUAAUAGAUUUUUUUAAUCGGCUACUAAUUAAUUUUAGUUCAUAUAGUCCGAAGUGUGCCAUCCACCAUUUAAUCAUACAUGGACAUCGUAUUAAUUUCAUAACCUAGAUAUAAAAUGACAAAUGAUCGUGGUUGCUUUAGGCUCGUUUAAUAUACUAUCGUGGUCGGGGACACGUUCGCGUGACAUGAUUAUGAUUUUUAAAGACAAAAUCAGAGUAUGCAUUCGCGCAACUUUGGCCAAAUUUUUCUUAAUAAUAAUAAAGUGUUAUUAAUUAUGGACAUGUUCACGUGACAUGAUUUCUUGACGCGCCAAACAAAUGGGUACACAUGCGCAUGACCUGUUUCAAGAUAAUUUCUAAUUGAGAAGAGGCUAGUGCACAUAGGUUCUAAAAUGAGUAAUUGGAAAAUUUUAAUAAGCCAAGUUUGAUCAAAGCUACCGUGCUAGAACCACGGAACUCGGGAAUACCUAACACCUUCUCCCGGGUUAAAAAAAUUUCUUACCCGGAUUUCUAUGUUCGCGGACCGUAAAAUAAAGUCAAAUUUACUCGAUUCUGGAUUUUAAAUCGGUGACUUGUAAUACCAUAAAUUAUCCCAAAUGGCGACUCUGAAUUUGAUAUAAAUAAUUCCGUUUCAGUUGUCACUUAAAUUGGAAAAUUUUCCCUUAUGUCCCUUCCGAGGGUAGUAAAAAGGAGGUGUGACAGCUUUAGCAACUCUGAUGGGGAACGAACCCAAAAUCUCUUGGAUUCAUUUAUUGUUAAUAUUACCGUAUUUGAGCUUAUUAAAAUGAUUUUUACUUGGAUUCAUUUAUUGUUAAUAUUACCGUAUUCUAUGAACCUUUUGUGCUAAAUGCUAUCUGUUUACCGCUUUAAUAUUGCUUGAAUUGUACAUAACUGUGUUCUUACGCCACCCCUCUGAGUCUUCUGAAAAUGGUGCACACAUUCGUGUGGCAUGCUUUUCUUGUAGAAAUUAUACCAAAUAGAAUAAGGCUGGGCCAGCAACAAGUCCGGGUAGACUUUAGUUGUCCCGGUACGUUUCUCCCUUUUCGUCCCCAGUUGUUCGCUCGGAUAAGCUAGGUCAAGAACAUAACCCCAGGAUUUAAACCUAGAAAAAUUCAGCCUCAUGCUGGAUCCCUAGUAGGAAUAUUUGUUUGCAUCAUGUGAAUUUGAAUUAAGGGACACAACAUAGGGGUUGGGUCCAUCUAGGACAUGUGUACCCAAAAUAACAGACCAUCCUGAUGCAUCUUUUGUGCUAUGUGAACAUUUAUUUGUUUCGGCCUGCAUGCUGACCGACUAAGGAAAAAUGAAUCUAAAGGGAAAAACGUGAUGUAGGGAAGGAAAGAAAGCCCGGAUCUGAAAUUCCACGGUAUAAGGAAAUGUCAUGAAAUUCUGCCAAAAAUUUUCAAGAAAAAAAAAGAGGAAAAUAAAAGAGUCAUUUGAAUAUGAGUGAGUACUGUGUCCUUUUUAAAUGCAUCAAAACUGAAAGAACUACGCAGGUCUGAUUCUCAUCGGAUGUGGGAUACGUGGGAAACUUACAUAAGGUUUGGCCUUAUUUUUCAAAAAAGAGAGUAAAUGGUCAAAUAAAUAUAGUUCAGGAUUUUGGUCAAAAGAAUAAGCCGAUCCAGCUUCGUUAAUGUCUUAAGCCGUUCUUACCGAGAUAGUCUUAAGAGUAUCUUCAGUUUUCAAAAGGUUAUUUUCAUAAAGAAUGGAUAAGUCUGUCAGUAAAGUGUCAUUUAUUUUUCAUAAGGUGGUCCCAAAAUUUUUUUGGAAUUAUGAAGGGGUCAUGUUUGCAAAAAUAACCCCAUUUUAGCAUUGAGGGGGAGGGAGUAAUGGUCUAUUGAUUUUCCUUUUAGAAAAUGAAAAAUCUAUUUUGCAAAAGUCCACCAGAGUCAAACCUAACUUUGACCCUCACAAGUAAAAAAGAACAUUGUCUAGGACCCGAAACUAUUAGUCAUAGAGUAGGCCCAUUUGUGGUGGUAUGAUUUGGAUGGGAAUGGUCAAGACAGGGUGAAAGAACAAUUGGGUGCUCUCACUGAUCUAUUGGAAAUCAAACCACAUGAAGAUUUGAUUGAAGCUUUGGUAAACUUUUGGGACCCUGUGCACAAUGUCUUUCUCUUCUUGAAUUUUUAGCUUACCCCUACACUGGAGGAAAUAGCUGGGUACAUCCAUUUCGAUCGGAACUUGAGAAAACAAUAGUUGAUAUUCCCGAGAGCCCCAUCAGGGCAUAAGUUCUUUGAUCUUCUUAAUAUUAGCAAACAAAUGAAGAAGGCUCAUUUGGACAAAGGGGGUUGUUCCCUUCAGUUUCUGUAUUCUAGGUUUGGGCAUUCUGUUGGGUUCAAAACACAUGAAAAAGGAUUGAACAACAAACAGGACAAGAAUCUUUGGCAAAUCCAUUGUAGGUUCACCUUUAUAGUUGCGUUCCUGGGAAUCAUAGUCUUUCCUAAUGCCAAGAUGACAGUAGAUGCCCCCAAAGCUAAAGUUGCACAAACCCUUAUUACAAAGGAAGAUCACGCACUUGCUCCUCUAAUAGUGGCAUAUAUUUUAUCGGGGAUUUACAUUGUAUAGACACAGGGCUCAAUUCUUCGAAGGCUGCAGUGUUCUUUUAAAAAUGUGGUUAAUUGAGCAUCUCCGCUAUCAUACCAAAUUCAUGAGCUAUAGUUCGAGCACAAAUAACUUCAUCAAGGGCUACGAGGAGUGGGUAAAAGACUACAAUGCUCCAGUAGAAUUUAAGGCCUGGGUUUCUCAUUUGAAAGCUCUAAAAGCAAGUCAAGUUGAAUGACUAUAGGGUGGCUCCCAAUGACGGAAGAUACAUACACGAUGGCUGCUAAGGGUUACCUAAUGUUGAUGGGUUUGAAGAGUGUCCAGCCAUGUAUGCCACAAAGGGUCCUGGGAUAGCUAGGAAGAUAUCAGGUGGUGCUUGAUGAUGAAGACCUAACCACUCAGGUCAUUGAGUUACAUCUAGAAUCUGUGUUGCCCGAAGCCUUAGUUAAGCAGGAUUGGAAUGGUUGCUAGUAUCUGAAAAAUGGCACCUAGGUACCAGAUGUUGCAAAGGGGGAAGUAGAUUCAAGAUACGCUGUAUGGUUUGAGAAAAGGUCUUGUGCAGACUAUGAGCUAGAACCUGAGCCCGAGCCCGAGCUCAAGAGGCCUGCCAAGAGACCUCAUGUUCAAGAUUUUGAUGAUAAAGUCCAAGAAAGAUUAGCUUGGGGUAAAAAAGAGAAGGAAUAUCAAGCUGCCAUCCACGCCUUAGAGGAUAAAUUGAGAAAUCUGGAAUUCAAUAAUGAUCUUUAGGCAUAAGAAGCUGAAGGUGAAAGAAGAAGAUUGGCUCAAGAGAAUGAAGCUCUCCGAGCCCAAGUUCGAAAGAUGAUAAUAUCCGCUGAAAAUCCGGGCAGAAGCAGAAAGGAUAAGAAGCUCAUCUACAGCCUUACGCAGAAAGUACGUGAUUGUGAGGAUGAUUUGGAAAGAACUGAAGUUGAACUAGCAAAAUCCCGACCCAAGUUAGCUAAGAAUCCGGAGGAAAGGGCCAAUUUUGUUCAACAACUGAAGGAGAAGUAUGACAAAGUAAUGGUGAGUAUGAAGAAAAAGGUCAAUGUCCUUGAGAACGAAAUGGCCAGUAGGCAAGAAAUUUCAAAGCAGAAAGGGAGUACUGCUAUGUCCUGAUGUCACAACUAGAAAAAGAUUUGCAACAACUUAAGCAGAAUCAUACAGCCGAACAAGUUUUGGGUGCCAGAUUUCAGCAGAUAGGAUGGUUGCUACAGGAGAAGGGUAUUAUUAGCGAAAGGGUUAGAGAAUUGCAGACUACAUUGUGAUGAAAUACAACGAAUGUGAAGACGUUACCUAGUCCAUCUUAUUCGCUACAGUUAUGAUUUUUGUCCGACAGAUCAUGGAUGAAUUGUUUCGCCUCCAAGAAGAUAUGGCACAAAGGCCCACAACAUGGCCAACUAGAGCAGUAGUUGAGGCACUUAUGUAUUCUUGACUUUGUUUAGUCGAGUUUGUAUUUUGUAGGUUCAUUUUUGAGUCUGUAUUGUCAGGUUGUUAGAUGAUUUUCGACUUUGUACUUUCUUUUGAAGUUUGCUGGUCGACUCAUCGAGUUUGUCAGUCUUUAUGUUUAAAUUUGCAAGAGAGGUCGUCGUAAACAGGAUGUUUUUCUUUUAUUUUAUGAAAUUUGAAAAAACCCUAAAAAUGUUUUUAUUAUUAUUUGUUUAUUUUGCACAGUUCCCAGAACUACGCUUGGUCUGAUUCAUGCGACGUCGUGAUGUUUAGACAAUCCCCAUACCAUUCGAUCAUAACCAUGAAAGGAACAGAAAAAAGAAGAAAAAACAAAAAUAAAGAAAAUAUGGAAAAGAAAUAAUGGCAAAACAAGAAGAGAAAAAAAUGAGAGAAUAAAGAAAUAAAGACAAGAAUCAAGCAAAGAAAAACCAGAAAUUAAAAAAGAGAGCAAGAAAUUGCAAAGAUGGAAAUUAGUGAAAGUCGGGAUGACACAAGCAGCCGUUAAGAUGCAUAAUAGAAAUGGUUAGCUUUUUAGGUGCAUUUCAUCCCCAACGUACAAGUGGUUAAUUUGUUUGGCAUUUUGGCAACUCACCAAUACCAGGUCCAAAGAUAAGUUGAUCAUGGCUGGCCAAGAAUUGGAUGCAUGUGUUAUUGAUCCGUCAAUGGAGGGGGAAGAGUGUGAUGUUAAUCUGAAAGAGGAGUUGCAUAAGUUAAAACAUCAAAUGGUAGAGAUGUACCAGACAUGGAUGAAGGGGCAUCCAUUACCAUCAUACCCCGCCAACCCUACUUUCGUCCCGCCACUAUCUCAACCCCAAGAACCUCCCACUGCUGAUUUAUCUCCAGGCUUCCCCCAUUUCUACCACUAUCAAUGCAACACUUCCCAAAACACACAAGCACCACCAGCUAAACCAAUCCCAUACCCCCACCACCAGUCACCCCUGUUUUCAUGGCACUCCCUUUCGCUCUAUUCCAUUGAUCCUCCAGCGAGCCCUUAUUCUAGACCCAAGAUAACCAGUACUACCCCUCGAAGACCACUUUCAAGGUCCCAUACCAUUACUCCUGCACUCUUUGUUUUGGCCUCCUAGUUGAGACUGAGAAUCCACCUAAAAACCCGGAGCAGGAGGAGAUGUUCAGAAAGGUAAGAAGACUAGAAUAAUUGUUCAGAAACAUGCAGGGAUUGGGAAGCCAGAUGAGCAUAGCCAACAAAGAUUUAUGUCUAUUUCCUGAUGUUCAGUUGCCUUUGGGAUUCAAGAUACCUAAAUUCGACCUAUAUGACGGACAUGGAGACCCGGUGGCCCAUCUUAUGGGAUUCUGUAGCAAGAUGAAACGGGCAAGUGGAAAAGAUAAGCUAUUAAUGGCAUACUUUAGCCAGAGUCUGAGUGGCGGAGCGCUGGAGUUGUACACUCGUCAAGAUAAAAAAGAUGGUAUACUUGGGAUGAUUUGGCCCAAUCUUUCGCCCGUUAUUUCCAGUACAACAUCGAGAUUGUUUCGGAUCGAUUAUCUUUAACUAAGAAUGAGAAGAAGCCCAGUGAAAGCUUCAGGGAAUACGGUUUUUACUGGAGAUAAUAAGCAACAAUGGUUAACCCUCCAAUAGAGGAGAACAAAAUGGUGGAAAACUUUCUGCAGGCUUUGGAGCCUACUUACUUUGGCCAUCUGAUAUCGGCCAUAGGCAAGUCAUUCAAUGAGGUAGUGAAGAUGGGUGGCAUGGUAGAAGAAGGGCUUAAAUCAAGAAAAAUGAUGAGCUACUCGACCAUCAAAGCAACUACCCAAGCCAUUCAAAAUGGUACCGGUGGAGUGAUCGGAAAGAAGAAGAAAGAAGACGGGGCAACCGUUGAUUCAGGAUUGUGGUUUUGACUAAGAGGCCCGUCAAACCACUAUACCCAGCCUCGACCUCAUCACUGAACCUACACCCAAACCAUAUAUAAUCCACCCCAACAUUACUACCUAUCACCAGAUUCUCAAAUUUCUGUCCACCAUACCUAAUCAUAUACUCAACCUCCUCCUUACUCAUAAUGGCAUCCCCCAGUCCCACAAAACACCUACCCAGUUCCACAAAAUUUUUACCUACCCCCAUGAUCCUACUGAAACCCUGUCAGUCCAGGUUUUUGACCCAGUCCAGCAUUCAAAAAUGAAAAGUUGCAGUAGAAGAAAACUUUCACCCCGUUGGGAGAGUCUUAUACCAGUUUCUUCUUGAGACUGAGGCAGUUAGAUAUGAUGAGGACAAUUGAGUCGAAAUUGCUCAACCCUCAUCCAAAGAAUCUUAGUUACUCCUUGAGAUAUGCAUACUGUUCUGGUACUCCGGAGCAUGAUACGGAGAAGUGCUGGCAUUUGAAAAAUGCCAUCUAGGAGCUCAUCGACACAAACCGGAUUAAAGUCAAAACUCCAGAGCCAACUAACAUCAAUCAGAACCCAUUGCCAACCUAUGAGGAAACAAAUAUGAUCGAGAUAGUACACAAGGGGAGAUAGCCCAAGAAGCUUUCACAGUUCGUCAUGAUGACUCGCUCCAAUAAGGUCAAGCCAGUUAAGAAACUAAUGGUCAAAGGAUCGGUAAACAAGUUGAGCAUGACAAAUGGUGAGCCAUCUAUGGUAGUUGAGAAAAUAUCCCCAAGUGAUGUUGUAGCAAAGAAAGAAACAAAAGUGGUGCCAAGGUUGCAAAUAAGCCUAUCGUAAUAAUAGAAGGUACCUGUACGAACCCUGUCAUCAUCAAGCCUAUAAUCUAGUUACCGGUAGUUAACACCAAGGCUAUCCCAUGGAACUAUGAACGGGUGAUAGUGACCUAUAAGGGAAAGGAAGUGAAAAAAGAAGUCCAUGAGGCCUAGGGAUUAACUCGUCCAGGGAGAUGCUUUGCCCCGGAAGAUUUAAGGAAAGCUAAAACAUCCGAAGCUAAUCAGUUCUUGUAAAGAAAUCAUUCACUGAAGAAGAAGCAGAGGAGUUCUUGAGGAAAAUGAAGGUACAAGAUUACUCUAUCGUAGAGCAGUUGAGAAAGAUGCCAGCUCAGAUUUCCUUGCUACCUUUAUGAAUACAUUCAGACGACCAUCAUCAGUCCUUGAUUAAAAUUAUGUACGAAACUUAUGUUCCAGACAAAAUUUUAGUGAACCUUCUGGAGAAGAUCGCCAAAAAAUAUUUGAGCUGAACAGGGUCACCUUCUCUAAUGACUAAUUUUCUGUGGUACUAAAUACAACAGAGCUUUCUAUCUUACAGUAAAAUAUGAAGAUUCUAUGGUCACCAGGGUGUCAGUCGACAAUGGUUCCAGUGCAAACAUUUGCCUCUCUCUACUCUGAACAAGUUAAAAGUUGAUGAUGAGAGGAUUCACAAGAAAAACAUAUGCGUCCGAGGUUUCGACAAUGGAGGAAAGGAUUCGGUUGGUAAUAUAGUGCUUGAAUUAACCAUAAGACCGGUGGAAUUCACCAUGAAGUUCCAAGUACCGAACGUAGCUAUCUCUUACAAUUUGCUGCUAGGUCAACCUUAGAUACUUGCCGCCAAAGCAGUACCGUCCACUUUGCAUCAGAUGGUCAAGUUUCAGUGGUAUAGGCGGGAGAUCAUCGUGCAUGCUGAGGAGAAUUCAUAUAUUGACAAUGAUGUCUCCAUCCCGUUCAUUAAGAUUGAAGAUGACAAAGGGCCUUGGGUCUAUCAAGUUUUUGAAACAGUGGCGGUCGAGAAGGUUUCAAAAGGGAAAUGUCUUCCAACUCCAAAGAUAGCCUCUGCAUCCUUCAUGGUGGCCUUUGAAAUGCUGAAAAAUGGCUUUAUGCCAGGUAAAGGUCUGGGUGCAUCCUUGCAGGGUAUCAUACAACCAGUGUCCCUCCCUGAACACUUGGGGUUCGGUCUUGGAUUCAAACCUACAUCGACAGAAGUGAAAAGGGCUAUAAGGUUAAAAUAGAAGGCGUGGGCACUUCCGAAGACUAUCUCGCAUCUCUCUAGGUGUUUUGUCAAGCCCGAAGCUAGGAAACUCCUAGUGACGACAGUUUCACGUAUGGUUGAUAUUGAUGAAGAGUUAAUUGAAAGGUUCCAUAGUUUGUUUGAUGACGUGAACAUGGUAGAAGUUAGAGAAGGUUCUAGCGAAGAAGACAUGCAGUUCAUCGGCCAAAUUUAAAGUUUAACAAUUAAAAGGCUACUCCUCUCCCUACCCGGAAGGAGUCUUGGUAGUUUGUUUUGUUUCCCUUUCUAUCUGGGUCAUUCCAAGGUUGUGACCCAGAUUUUAUUUUCCGCUUGUUGAUGUAAAACCCUAUUAUCCUUUAUUUUAAAUGAAAUGCAAUUUUCGUUUUUCCAUCAUUCGUGAUAGUUAUAUUUUCUUCUCUGCAUAGUUCUUUUUAUUAGUUUCGAUGACAUGACAUGCAUGAGGAAUCUUCGACCAAGUCUUAAAAGUCAAUCCAAUUUUGAAUUAAUAAUCCAAGAAAUUUAGUGUGAUGAUGAAUCAGAAUAUGAUGAGGACGACUUUUGAAGAGAUUAGUAUGGAAUUAAAUAAUUUUGAAGAAAAACCCAAGCCUAAUAUGAAUGAUAUGGAAGCAU
rnacentral:lncRNA from 1 species